UCCCUGGUGGUCCAGUGGCUAAGACUGCACACUGCCAAUGCCGAGGGCCUAGGUUUGAUUCCUGGCCGGGGAA
rnacentral:tRNA from 1 species